UACGGAGGGGGCUAGCGUUGUUCGGAUUUACUGGGCGUAAAGCGCGUUCAGGCGGUUUGGCAAGUCGGGCAUGAAAUCUCUCGGCUCAACCGGGAGAGGUUGUCCGAUACUGCUGGACUUGAGGGCAGUAGAGGGUGGUGGAAUUCCGGGUGUAGUGGUGAAAUGCGUAGAUAUCCGGAGGAACACCAGUGGCGAAAGCGGCCACCUGGACUGUACCUGACGCUGACACGCGAAAGCUAGGGGAGCGAACGGG
rnacentral:rRNA from 1 species